AGGCCAUGAUGUGGACAAGAUCUCAAUAGUUCUUUAUAUCUUUCCAAAGCUUCAAAAAGUGAUUCUCCUUGAUUUUGAGUAAAUCGGGUGAUCUGAUUUCAAAGGAC